AGUGAACGCUGGCGGUAGACCUAACACAUGCAAGUCGAACGGCAGCACAGUAAGAGCUUGCUCUUACGGGUGGCGAGUGGCGGACGGGUGAGGAAUACAUCGGAAUCUACUUUUUCGUGGGGGAUAACGUAGGGAAACUUACGCUAAUACCGCAUACGACCUACGGGUGAAAGCAGGGGAUCUUCGGACCUUGCGCGAUUGAAUGAGCCGAUGUCGGAUUAGCUAGUUGGCGGGGUAAAGGCCCACCAAGGCGACGAUCCGUAGCUGGUCUGAGAGGAUGAUCAGCCACACUGGAACUGAGACACGGUCCAGACUCCUACGGGAGGCAGCAGUGGGGAAUAUUGGACAAUGGGCGCAAGCCUGAUCCAGCCAUACCGCGCGGGUGAAGAAGGCCUUCGGGUUGUAAAGCCCUUUUGUUGGGAAAGAAAAGCAGCAGGUUAAUACCCCGCUGUUCUGACGGUACCCAAAGAAUAAGCACCGGCUAACUUCGUG
rnacentral:rRNA from 1 species